rnacentral:rRNA from 3 species
UACCAGCUGGCUGCAACUGUUUAUUAAAAACACAGCACUGUGCAAACACGAAAGUGGACGUAUACGGUGUGACGCCUGCCCGGUGCCGGAAGGUUAAUUGAUGGGGUCAGCGCAAGCGAAGCUCCUGAUCGAAGCCCCGGUAAACGGCGGCCGUAACUAUAACGGUCCUAAGGUAGCGAAAUUCCUUGUCGGGUAAGUUCCGACCUGCACGAAUGGCGUAAUGAUGGCCAGGCUGUCUCCACCCGAGACUCAGUGAAAUUGAACUCGCUGUGAAGAUGCAGUGUACCCGCGGCAAGACGGAAAGACCCCGUGAACCUUUACUAUAGCUUGACACUGAACAUUGAGCCUUGAUGUGUAGGAUAGGUGGGAGGCUUUGAAGUGUGGACGCCAGUCUGCAUGGAGCCGGCCUUGAAAUACCACCCUUUAAUGUUUGAUGUUCUAACGUGGACCCGUGAUCCGGGUUGCGGACAGUGUCUGGUGGGUAGUUUGACUGGGGCGGUCUCCUCCUAAAGAGUAACGGAGGAGCACGAAGGUUGGCUAAUCCUGGUCGGACAUCAGGAGGUUAGUGCAAUGGCAUAAGCCAGCUUGACUGCGAGCGUGACGGCGCGAGCAGGUGCGAAAGCAGGUCAUAGUGAUCCGGUGGUUCUGAAUGGAAGGGCCAUCGCUCAACGGAUAAAAGGUACUCCGGGGAUAACAGGCUGAUACCGCCCAAGAGUUCAUAUCGACGGCGGUGUUUGGCACCUCGAUGUCGGCUCAUCACAUCCUGGGGCUGAAGUAGGUCCCAAGGGUAUGGCUGUUCGCCAUUUAAAGUGGUACGCGAGCUGGGUUUAGAACGUCGUGAGACAGUUCGGUCCCUAUCUGCCGUGGGCGCUGGAGAACUGAGGGGGGCUGCUCCUAGUACGAGAGGACCGGAGUGGACGCAUCACUGGUGUUCGGGUUGUCAUGCCAAUGGCACUGCCCGGUAGCUAAAUGCGGAAGAGAUAAGUGCUGAAAGCAUCUAAGCACGAAACUUGCCCCGAGAUGAGUUCUCCCUGAGACUUUAGGUCUCCUGAAGGAACGUUGAAGACGACGACGUUGAUAGGCCGGGUGUGUAAGCGCAGCGAUGCGUUGAGCUAACCGGUACUAAUGAACCGUGAGGCUUAACCUU